ACCCAGACUCCUACGGGAGGCAGCAGUGGGGAAUAUUGCACAAUGGGGGAAACCCUGAUGCAGCGACGCCGCGUGAGUGAAGAAGUACUUCGUUAUGUAAAGCUCUAUCAGCAGGGAAGAAAAUGACGGUACCUGAGUAAGAAGCCCCGGCUAACUACGUGCCAGCAGCCGCGGUAAUACGUAGGGGGCAAGCGUUAUCCGGAUUUACUGGGCGUAAAGGGGGCGCAGACGGCGAUGCAAGCCAGGAGUGAAAGCCCGGGGCCCAACCCCGGGACUGCUCUUGGAACUGCGUGGCUGGAGUGCAGGAGGGGCAGGCGGAAUUCCUGGUGUAGCGGUGAAAUGCGUAGAUAUCAGGAGGAACACCGGUGGCGAAGGCGGCCUGCUGGACUGCAACUGACGUUGAGGCCCGAAAGCGUGGGGAGCAAACAGGAUUAGAUACCCCGGUAAGC
rnacentral:rRNA from 1 species